CCUGAUCCCUAAUUACUUUAACCUGCAGUUAAAUGUCAGUCUCUCUAAUUAUCUGGUUACUCCUCUCCUGAGUCCAAUAUAGCCUGCAGGUGUGCAUGGCAAUGUGGUUUGCAGGUCUGACUGACCUAGUGCACCUUUCAUUUAUUAGGCUGGCCUUUUGCAAAGUUGGUCAAACCUCUUGUGUUUUCAAGAUACUAUUAUUAAUUUGAACUCUAUUAGACGAGACUAGAUCUGAAACUUUAGCAGACUUUAGGGAAUUUCACAAAAGAGAGCCUCCUGCUUUGUUAUUCCUGUUGCAGUAACGCUGUAUACCUUUGGGGAGACCAAGUUGCAUCAAGUUCAAGGAACAGGUCUCCAUUUGCACGGUGUCUGUAGCAGAACCAGGACCAGAAUUUUUGAUCUUUGACUGUUGCCUCAGAUGCUCAGCUACUUCGUAUUCCGUGCUUUGUUUGGGUGGAAGGAGACUUCCUGAAACCUGGCACGGGUCUCUAGUGACUGGGAGCUGCUACUCUGAUGGUUAUUUAAUGGUUCAGAAGCAAGGAGCUGGUGGAAAAACUCUGCCAUUUGGUACACAAGAAGGCCUUUAUCUGAGUGAUACUGCAUAACAAUUUGCUCUACAGCUCUCAAGAAUAUCUGUGUAAAACAGAGCUCUGAAUGCUAGUGGUUCGUGUCAAAUUUAAAACAGAAA
rnacentral:lncRNA from 1 species